GUUGCAUUUUAAUUAUUCUAAUUUCCCAGCUUAAUCUUGGUGCUUGAAUUCAUCGCUGAUGAAUUUAAAGAAAAAAUAGACAUUGGGAAGGACCAGUGGUGGGUUUCUACCAGUUCACCCCAGUUCGGGCGAACUGGUAGCGGCAGUGGCAGGAGGCUCCACCCACCCACCCGGAUGUCAUCAUGGACUCUCUCCGCAUGCGCAGAAGCACCACAUGUGAGCUCACAGUUCCAAACCGGUAGUGAAGACAGGGCGAAUCAUGUGUAGCUAAUCUCCAAUAGUCACAAGAUGGAGCAUCUUACCUCAGAAAAAAAACAACAACAACACAUUCUUACUGGCUUAAAGCUCUGUUUCUACUCCUAGAAAUAUACUUCAACUUUAUACUUCAGUGAAAAACCUUGACUAAACUUUGAUGAAAACAGAGUGACCUUCAUAGAUUUGCACAGCUCCAACAGCAAAGGUCAGUGGAUCAGUGAAGUCAGAUUACCACUCUUUCUUCUGUAAACAACGGUCUGUUAUACUUAGCAAUACUGGUUCUUAAUGCAUAUAAUGGAUAAAAUGUGGAUAUGUGAGCCAUUG